UUAUGGCCAUAUCAUGUUGAAACACUAGUUCUCGUAUGAUCACUGGGUAAGCAACAUUAAGCCCGGGCAGUACCUAGAUGGGUGACCACUUGGGAAUAUGAGGUGCUGUG